UUAAGCGACUAAGCGUACACGGUGGAUGCCCUGGCAGUCAGAGGCGAUGAAGGGCGUGCUAAUCUGCGAUAAGCGCCGGUAAGGUGAUAUGAACCGUUAUAACCGGCGAUACCCGAAUGGGGAAACCCAGUGUGAUUCGUCACACUAUCAUUAACUGAAUCCAUAGGUUAAUGAGGCGAACCGGGGGAACUGAAACAUCUAAGUACCCCGAGGAAAAGAAAUCAACCGAGAUUCCCCCAGUAGCGGCGAGCGAACGGGGAGGAGCCCAGAGCCUGAAUCAGCAUGUGUGUUAGUGGAAGCGUCUGGAAAGGCGCGCGAUACAGGGUGACAGCCCCGUACACAAAAGCGCAUGUGCUGUGAGCUCGAUGAGUAGGGCGGGACACGUGGUAUCCUGUCUGAAUAUGGGGGGACCAUCCUCCAAGGCUAAAUACUCCUGACUGACCGAUAGUGAACCAGUACCGUGAGGGAAAGGCGAAAAGAACCCCGGCGAGGGGAGUGAAAAAGAACCUGAAACCGUGUACGUACAAGCAGUGGGAGCACCCUUUGGGGUGUGACUGCGUACCUUUUGUAUAAUGGGUCAGCGACUUAUAUUCUGUAGCAAGGUUAACCGUAUAGGGGAGCCGGAGGGAAACCGAGUCUUAAUUGGGCGUUAAGUUGCAGGGUAUAGACCCGAAACCCGGUGAUCUAGCCAUGGGCAGGUUGAAGGUUGGGUAACACUAACUGGAGGACCGAACCGACUAAUGUUGAAAAAUUAGCGGAUGACCUGUGGCUGGGGGUGAAAGGCCAAUCAAACCGGGAGAUAGCUGGUUCUCCCCGAAAGCUAUUUAGGUAGCGCCUCGUGAAUUCAUCUCCGGGGGUAGAGCACUGUUUCGGCUAGGGGGCCAUCCCGGCUUACCAACCCGAUGCAAACUGCGAAUACCGGAGAAUGUUAUCACGGGAGACACACGGCGGGUGCUAACGUCCGUCGUGAAGAGGGAAACAACCCAGACCGCCAGCUAAGGUCCCAAAGUCAUGGUUAAGUGGGAAACGAUGUGGGAAGGCCCAGACAGCCAGGAUGUUGGCUUAGAAGCAGCCAUCAUUUAAAGAAAGCGUAAUAGCUCACUGGUCGAGUCGGCCUGCGCGGAAGAUGUAACGGGGCUAAACCAUGCACCGAAGCUGCGGCAGCGACGCUUAUGCGUUGUUGGGUAGGGGAGCGUUCUGUAAGCCUGUGAAGGUGGCCUGUGAGGGUUGCUGGAGGUAUCAGAAGUGCGAAUGCUGACAUAAGUAACGAUAAAGCGGGUGAAAAGCCCGCUCGCCGGAAGACCAAGGGUUCCUGUCCAACGUUAAUCGGGGCAGGGUGAGUCGACCCCUAAGGCGAGGCCGAAAGGCGUAGUCGAUGGGAAACGGGUUAAUAUUCCCGUACUUGGUGUUACUGCGAAGGGGGGACGGAGAAGGCUAUGUUGGCCGGGCGACGGUUGUCCCGGUUUAAGCGUGUAGGUGUGUGUUCCAGGUAAAUCCGGUUCACUUUAACACUGAGGCGUGACGACGAGGCACUACGGUGCUGAAGCAACAAAUGCCCUGCUUCCAGGAAAAGCCUCUAAGCAUCAGGUAACAUCAAAUCGUACCCCAAACCGACACAGGUGGUCAGGUAGAGAAUACCAAGGCGCUUGAGAGAACUCGGGUGAAGGAACUAGGCAAAAUGGUGCCGUAACUUCGGGAGAAGGCACGCUGACACGUAGGUGAAGUGAUUUACUCAUGGAGCUGAAGUCAGUCGAAGAUACCAGCUGGCUGCAACUGUUUAUUAAAAACACAGCACUGUGCAAACACGAAAGUGGACGUAUACGGUGUGACGCCUGCCCGGUGCCGGAAGGUUAAUUGAUGGGGUCAGCGCAAGCGAAGCUCCUGAUCGAAGCCCCGGUAAACGGCGGCCGUAACUAUAACGGUCCUAAGGUAGCGAAAUUCCUUGUCGGGUAAGUUCCGACCUGCACGAAUGGCGUAAUGAUGGCCAGGCUGUCUCCACCCGAGACUCAGUGAAAUUGAACUCGCUGUGAAGAUGCAGUGUACCCGCGGCAAGACGGAAAGACCCCGUGAACCUUUACUAUAGCUUGACACUGAACAUUGAGCCUUGAUGUGUAGGAUAGGUGGGAGGCUUUGAAGUGUGGACGCCAGUCUGCAUGGAGCCGACCUUGAAAUACCACCCUUUAAUGUUUGAUGUUCUAACGUGGACCCGUUACCCGGGUUGCGGACAGUGUCUGGUGGGUAGUUUGACUGGGGCGGUCUCCUCCUAAAGAGUAACGGAGGAGCACGAAGGUUGGCUAAUCCUGGUCGGACAUCAGGAGGUUAGUGCAAUGGCAUAAGCCAGCUUGACUGCGAGCGUGACGGCGCGAGCAGGUGCGAAAGCAGGUCAUAGUGAUCCGGUGGUUCUGAAUGGAAGGGCCAUCGCUCAACGGAUAAAAGGUACUCCGGGGAUAACAGGCUGAUACCGCCCAAGAGUUCAUAUCGACGGCGGUGUUUGGCACCUCGAUGUCGGCUCAUCACAUCCUGGGGCUGAAGUAGGUCCCAAGGGUAUGGCUGUUCGCCAUUUAAAGUGGUACGCGAGCUGGGUUUAGAACGUCGUGAGACAGUUCGGUCCCUAUCUGCCGUGGGCGCUGGAGAACUGAGGGGGGCUGCUCCUAGUACGAGAGGACCGGAGUGGACGCAUCACUGGUGUUCGGGUUGUCAUGCCAAUGGCACUGCCCGGUAGCUAAAUGCGGAAGAGAUAAGUGCUGAAAGCAUCUAAGCACGAAACUUGCCCCGAGAUGAGUUCUCCCUGAGACUUAGAGUCUCCUGAAGGAACGUUGAAGACGACGACGUUGAUAGGCCGGGUGUGUAAGCGCAGCGAUGCGUUGAGCUAACCGGUACUAAUGAACCGUGAGGCUUAACCUU
rnacentral:rRNA from 2 species